rnacentral:rRNA from 1 species
UACGGGGGGAGCAAGCGUUGUUCGGAUUUACUGGGCGUAAAGGGCGCGUAGGCGGCCACCGCAAGUCGACUGUGAAAUCUCCGGGCUUAACCCGGAAAGGUCAGCCGAUACUGCGGGGCUAGAGUGCAGAAGGGGCAACUGGAAUUCUCGGUGUAGCGGUGAAAUGCGUAGAUAUCGAGAGGAACACCUGCGGCGAAGGCGGGUUGCUGGGCUGACACUGACGCUGAGGCGCGAAAGCGAGGGGAGCGAACGGG